GACGAACGCUGGCGGCGUGCUUAACACAUGCAAGUCGAACGGAAAGGCCCUGCUUUUGUGGGGUGCUCGAGUGGCGAACGGGUGAGUAACACGUGAGUAACCUGCCCUUGACUUUGGGAUAACUUCAGGAAACUGGGGCUAAUACCGGAUAGGAGCUCCUGCUGCAUGGUGGGGGUUGGAAAGUUUCGGCGGUUGGGGAUGGACUCGCGGCUUAUCAGCUUGUUGGUGGGGUAGUGGCUUACCAAGGCUUUGACGGGUAGCCGACCUGAGAGGGUGACCGGCCACAUUGGGACUGAGAUACGGCCCAGACUCCUACGGGAGGCAGCAGUGGGGAAUAUUGCACAAUGGGCGGAAGCCUGAUGCAGCAACGCCGCGUGCGGGAGGACGGCCUUCGGGUUGUAAACCGCUUUCGCCUGUGACGAAGCGUGAGUGACGGUAAUGGGUAAAGAAGCACCGGCUAACUACGU
rnacentral:rRNA from 1 species